rnacentral:rRNA from 1 species
UACGUAGGGGGCGAGCGUUGUCCGGAUUUAUUGGGCGUAAAGAGCGUGUAGGCGGCCAGGUAGGUCUGCUGUGAAAACUCGAGGCUCAACCUCGAGACGUCGGCGGAAACCAUCUGGCUAGAGUCCGGAAGAGGAGAGUGGAAUUCCUGGUGUAGCGGUGAAAUGCGCAGAUAUCAGGAAGAACACCCGUGGCGAAGGCGGCUCUCUGGGACGGUACUGACGCUCAUGUGCGAAAGCGUGGGGAGCAAACAGG